GGAAAUGGCUCAGUGGUAGAGUGUGUACUUGGCAUGCAUGAGACCCUGGGUUCAAUCCCCAAUAAUUCCA
rnacentral:tRNA from 1 species